rnacentral:lncRNA from 1 species
AGCUUUCCUCCAGAUGUUUCAGCAGGGGCUGGGCAGCCCACUGACAUAGAUGACCAAAACCAUCCACCCCAACUUGCGCCACUGGGACGACAGUCUUCUUCUUAUUGCUUCCUGAUGCAUUGGGGCCAAGAACUCCUGUUUGGGAUCCCAGAAGGAAACUGGGGAAAUGGAUAAAUCAACAGAGAGCUGGCUGACGUCAUUGGUUGUCAGGUCUA